GCUUACGCAAAGCAGCAAAGAUUACUGCCAUUGUUAGACAAAGUAGAGAAAUCAGCCAAACAAACGGAUCUUCAAGGAUUACUGCCAUAAGCUUCACAAAUUUCCAUGAUUUCUUUUUAAAAGAUUUCCUAUUUUGCUUACAAGUUACACCUAAGGCCCUUGUAAUCAUCAGUAAUAAAAUUAAAAAUGCAAAUAAUUAUCUUCUCACAGCAUUUGCAAUUGCAAUCGAACAAAAAUAUACAUACUUGGAUAAGUCCUAAUAGUGAGAGAUCUAAGGCAAACCAACACAUUUGAAUGUGAUAUGAGCUGCAGGCAUCCAUCAAUUUUAAUGCAAAUGUUCAAAAUUUUUGCCACGCUGUUUCAGACAAUGAAAAUAUCAUGUCUAUCACAACAAUCUAGUGAUUGGAGAAAGGGACAUGAAUUGAGCUGGAAAUUGGAAAUGGAAUCUUUACUCUCUCCCCAAUCCACACUGCAAGUCAAAGCUUAAAAAAGGGUCGGAGAAAGCCUUCGGUGACCUAAUCAGGGGGGAGAAAUGUUUAAAUAAUUGGGGAUUGGAGUGAGGGUUAAAACUUAAAACUGACAUCACACCUAUACUUCCCAUGUCAAUUACCAAUUUACCAUCCAUUGAUGGGAGCUCUAGUUGCUGGCGACUGGUGAGGUGCAAUUGGGCCACUUGACAAUGGUAUGCAUACGGUUAGAAAGCUACAUGUCGUCAGCUUACUAUCAAAGCACAUAAUUUUUUUUCCCUAAAUAAUGGAUUAGUUGCAUCAAUGACCUGCCACCUUCCACCUGCCAUCCCUAUAAAUGAACUAAAACCUUUUGUAAAUGUGCCAGCCUUCCUGCUGUAAUCUCUGAUUAAACUCAUUUCUUAAUCACUAUAAAACCUAGGCGCAGUUGGAAAACCAGAAACUAUGAGGAUUUUUUUUUUUUUUUUUUUCAUGCAUAACAAGUUUAUUUUUU
rnacentral:misc_RNA from 1 species